rnacentral:rRNA from 1 species
CCUACGGGAGGCAGCAGUGAGGAAUAUUGGUCAAUGGACGAGAGUCUGAACCAGCCACGUCGCGUGAAGGAUGACUGCCCUAUGGGUUGUAAACUUCUUUUAUAAAGGAAUAAAACGAGGCUCGUGCGCCUUUUUGCAUGUACUUUAUGAGCAAGGAUCGGCUAACUCCGCGCCAGCAGCCGCGGUAAUACGGAGGAUCCGAGCGUUAUCCGGAUUUAUUGGGUUUAAAGGGAGCGUAGAUGGGUUGUUAAGUCAGUUGUGAAAGUUUGCGGCUCAACCGUAGAAUUGCAAUUGAUACUGGCAGUCUUGAGUACAGUAGAGGUAGGCGGAAUUCGUGGUGUAGCGGUGAAAUGCUUAGAUAUCACGAAGAACCCCGAUUGCGAAGGCAACUUACUGGACUGUAACUGACAUUGAGGCUCGAAAGUGUGGGUAUCAAACAGGAUUAGAUACCCCUGUAGUC